UACGAAGGGGGCUAGCGUUGCUCGGAAUCACUGGGCGUAAAGCGCACGUAGGCGGCUUUCUAAGUCAGGGGUGAAAUCCCGGAGCUCAACUCCGGAACUGCCUUUGAUACUGGGGAUCUCGAGUCCGGAAGAGGUGAGUGGAACUCCGAGUGUAGAGGUGAAAUUCGUAGAUAUUCGGAAGAACACCAGUGGCGAAGGCGGCUCACUGGUCCGGUACUGACGCUGAGGUGCGAAAGCGUGGGGAGCAACAGG
rnacentral:rRNA from 1 species